UUGAACGCUGGCGGCAUGCCUUACACAUGCAAGUCGAACGGCCAGCCGCGGGGGGCAACCCUGGCGGCGAGUGGCGAACGGGUGAGUAAUAUAUCGGAACGUGCCCAGUAGUGGGGGAUAGCCCGGCGAAAGCCGGAUUAAUACCGCAUACGAUCUAUGGAUGAAAGCGGGGGAUCGCAAGGACCUCGCGCUAUUGGAGCGGCUGAUAUCUGAUUAGCUAGUUGGUGGGGUAGAGGCCCACCAAGGCGACGAUCAGUAGCUGGUCUGAGAGGACGACCAGCCACACUGGGACUGAGACACGGCCCAGACUCCUACGGGAGGCAGCAGUGGGGAAUUUUGGACAAUGGGGGCAACCCUGAUCCAGCAAUGCCGCGUGAGUGAAGAAGGCCUUCGGGUUUGUAAAGCUCUUUUGUUCGGAACGAAACGGUUCGGGCUAAUACCCUGAGCUAAUGACGGUACCGGAAGAAUAAGCACCGGCUAACUACGUGCCAGCAGCCGCGGGUAAUACGUAGGGUGCAAGCGUUUAAUCGGAAUUACUGGGCGUAAAGCGUGCGCAGGCGGUUUGGUAAGACAGAUGUGAAAUCCCCGGGCUUAACCUGGGAAUGGCAUUUGUGACUGCCCGGCUGGAAUCUGGCAGAGGGGGGUAGAAUUCCACGUGUAGCAGUGAAAUGCGUAGAGAUGUGGAGGAAUACCGAUGGCGAAGGCAGCCCCCCUGGGCCAAGAUUGACGCUCAUGCACGAAAGCGUGGGGAGCAAACAGGAUUAGAUACCCUGGUAGUCCACGCCCUAAACGAUGUCAACUAGUCGUCGGGUCUUAAUUGACUUGGUAACGCAGCUAACGCGUGAAGUUGACCGCCUGGGGAGUACGGUCGCAAGAUUAAAACUCAAAGGAAUUGACGGGGACCCGCACAAGCGGUGGAUGAUGUGGAUUAAUUCGAUGCAACGCGAAAAAACCUUACCUACCCUUGACAUGGUCGGAAUCCCGCAGAGAUGUGGGAGUGCUCGAAAGAGAACCGGCGCACAGGUGCUGCACUGGCUGUCGUCAGCUCGUGUCGUGAGAUGUUGGGUUAAGUCCCGCAACGAGCGCAACCCUUGUCAGUUAGUUGUCUACGAGUAAUGUCGGGCACUCUAAUGCGAACCUGCCGGUAGGAUAACUACGGAGGAAGGUGGGGAUGACGUCAAGUCCUCAUGGCCCUUAUGGUCAGGGCUACACACGUGCAUACAAUGGUCCAGUGCAGAGGCUGUCCAAACCCGUGAGGGGGAGCUAAUCCAGGAAAAGCCUGUCCUCAUAGUUCCGGAUUGGAGUCUGCAACCUCGACUGCAUGAAGCUUGGAAUCGCUAGUAAUCGCGGAUCAGAACUGUCCGCGGUGAAUACGUUCCCGGGUCCUUGUACACACCGCCCGUCACAUCACAAUGUGGAGCGGGCUACCUAGAAGUCGGCGUAGCUAACCGCAAGGAGGGCAGCCUCCCAAGGUAUGGAUUUCAGUGAUUGGGGUG
rnacentral:rRNA from 1 species